ACAGUACUCCCUCCGUUCCGAAUUACUUGUCUUAAAUUUGUCUAGAUACAAAGGUAUCUAGCACUAAAAUGAGUCUAAAUACAUCCGUAUCUAGACAAAUUCAAGACAAGUAAUUCGGAUACCUUCGCAUCUAGACAAAUCUAAGACAAAUAAUUCGGAAAGGAGGGAGUACAAU
rfam:Triticum aestivum genome assembly, contig: Triticum_aestivum_CS42_TGACv1_scaffold_558729_7AL